UUUACCCCAGUCUGAUUUCUUUACAUUUCACACAUUGAAUAACAAUUUUUAAAAAACAAAAUAUCUUUUUUUGGGGAAAAAGAAAAGUUAAGAGAUCUGUGGUAACGAUCUUUUUUUCAUUUCCAUGCUUACACCACAGGGAUGUCUGAGUAGGGUUUUGCAAAUUUGGUGUGAACUUUUCAUUGUAGAACAUUGGAAAUGCUGGACUCUUCUCUGGAUCGAAUAUCCCAGCGGGGGAGUGUGGAAACAUUUUGUUCUCUCUAACUCCUUUUGAGUAUUUACAAAACAAAACUUCUGUUGGGAUAGUUUGAUUGCGUGGUAUGGCCAAUGCUGUAACUUAAACUGUACAAAAAACACUAAUUCAACAGCGCUAUUUUAUUUUGUUCAAGCAUCGGGAAAAAAACAACUUUUGCAACAGUCUGUGUGAAGUCGCACUAGGACCGCGCGAGGGUGCUGGUCCAAAUCAGGCCUGUGCACCAUAACUUCAUGGGCCCUUUCAACUUUCACUCGGUCUGACGCGGCCUCCAGACCAAGAAAUCGCGGCAGCCAGCUUUCAAAGAAGUUUACUGGCUGGUCGCCUUCCACUCCCCCUGGCAGCCCCACAACACGAACAUUUUAUCGCCCAUCUCUAUUCUUGAGGUCAUCAACUUGCUUCUGUAAGAUGCUGUGUUUUGGUUUU